CAAUAUUUGUGCUCGUCGAAUAUAUUUCACGAACAUAGAUAUUUUCAUUUACAAGCCAUUAAUAACAGUAUUUCCGUUACGAAUGCUUAAUAAGAAGAAUGUUGUGUUGUAUAUUUCCACCCAGCCCAUCCCUGCUCACUAAGUUUUUCUUUCAGGAAUUGUUGUGGCCGCGCGCAAUGCGGUCGGUAGAGUCAGUGUUUGUACGAACAUAUUUCCAAUGUUUUGAUUUUUUCAAGGGUGAACUGGCCCUGAAUAGAGUUGCGUUUGUACAUACAGUUAGGAAUCACGCGAAAGUAGAGUCAGUGUUUGCUGCGUAUUAUAAAAUAUUUUCUAGAGCAUCGCGGCUCUGAUUUUUCUCUUUUCAUCGCGAAAGUAGAGUCACUUGAAUUGUUCGCCGGAAAUUUAUCACGGUCGCGUUACUAGUACUUAAUAUCUUUAUCUUUAUUUUUAAUUUUUUUUGUUUAAUUGUUCGAUAUCGGUAUUAGAGUCAAUCAUCCACCACUGAAGAGGAGUCUUGGGCGUUGCUCCAUAAGGAAAGAGUAUGAAUUUUUUGAUUUUGCCGAGUUCCUGGAUAUCCUGAUGAUGGCUUUCUUCACGACUUCCGUCUUGAUGAAUUUCUUCACGACUUCCGUCUUCUCCUACAAGGCAGCCUCCUACCUGGUGUUGUCCAUCCUCCUACUUACUUGACUGUCGGAAGAAGAGUAUAUCUGCGAACGGUGAGUCGCAUGUUUUAUGGUUCCUCUGGUGCCCAGUCAUGUCGUAGGACGAAUGGUCCGAAUCGACACGGGCUACUAGUUGUAUACGUGAUUUGCAAGCACAGUGACCAUGGGUAUGAUUAUACCCAUGAGUGGUAACAUUUUUAUUGUUUCAUUUCAUUUAGUUCAGGGUAGGUCUUCUUGUACUCCGCGUUUUAAUAUGUAUCAUUUCAA